rnacentral:rRNA from 1 species
UACGAAGGGGGCUAGCGUUGCUCGGAAUCACUGGGCGUAAAGGGUGCGUAGGCGGGUUUUUAAGUCAAGGGUGAAAUCCUGGAGCUCAACUCCAGAACUGCCUUUGAUACUGAAGAUCUUGAGUCCGGGAGAGGUGAGUGGAACUGCGAGUGUAGAGGUGAAAUUCGUAGAUAUUCGCAAGAACACCAGUGGCGAAGGCGGCUCACUGGCCCGGUACUGACGCUGAGGCACGAAAGCGUGGGGAGCAAACAGG